rnacentral:rRNA from 1 species
GACGAACGCUGGCGGCGUGCCUAAUACAUGCAAGUCGAACGCAGUGGGGACGGGUGAGUAACACGUGGGUAACCUCCCAUCAGAGGGGAUAACACUUGGAAACAGGUGCUAAACCGAUACUGAUGGAUGGACCCGCGGUGCAUUAGCUAGUUGGUGAGGUAACGGCUCACCAAGGCCACGAUGCAUCGCCGACUUGAGAGGGUGAUCGGCCAAACUGGAAGUGGGCAAAGGCCAAGAGUCCUACGGGAGGCAGCAGUAGGGAAGUGUCGGAAAUGGACGAAAGUCUGACCGAGAAACGCCGCGUGAGUGAAGAAGGUUUUCGGAUCGUAAAACUCUGUUGUUAGAGAAGCGGUAGCUAACCAGAAAGCCACGGCUAACUACGUGCCAGCCGCCGCGGUAAUAC